rnacentral:rRNA from 1 species
GACAGAGGGGGCAAGCGUUGCUCGGAAUUACUGGGCGUAAAGGGCGCGUAGGCGGGAUGGCAAGUCGGUCGUGAAAUCCCUCGGCUCAACCGAGGAACGUCGAUCGAUACUGCUGUUCUUGAGGAUUGCAGAGGAGACUGGAAUUCCCGGUGUAGCGGUGAAAUGUGUAGAGAUCGGGAGGAACACCGGUGGCGAAGGCGGGUCUCUGGGCAAUUCCUGACGCUGAUGCGCGAAAGCGUGGGGAGCAAACGGG